GCACAUUCCAGCCAAUCAGCAGCAGACCCUCCCUCCCAGACCCUCCCACCUCCUGGACAGCAUCCAUUGUGAAGCUGCAUUCUUAGUGAGCUGUCCAGGAGGUGGGAGGGUCUGGGAGGGAGGGUCUGCUGCUGAUUGACUGGAAUG